UUUUAUGGCGGCUGUGCGUAGGGCGCCUCCGUGCGCGCCGGUUUCCUUGAUUCCCGGUCUACCAACCUGCGUACAGCCGUCACCACU
ncrna:Pseudomonas putida GB-1 C4 antisense RNA